ACAGCAGUAGCCACGGUAAUACGUAGGGCGCAAGCGUUGUCCGGAAUUAUUGGGCGUAAAGAGCUCGUAGGCGGUCUGUCGCGUCUGGUGUGAAAUCCCGAGGCUCAACCUCGGGCUUGCAUCGGGUACGGGCAGACUAGAGUGCGGUAGGGGAGACUGGAAUUCCUGGUGUAGCGGUGGAAUGCGCAGAUAUCAGGAGGAACACCGAUGGCGAAGGCAGGUCUCUGGGCCGCAACUGACGCUGAGGAGCGAAAGCAUGGGGAGCGAACAGGAUUAGAUACCCCGGUAGUCCCUGUCUCUUAUAC
rnacentral:rRNA from 1 species